GAUUGCCUCAGUAACGGCGAGUGAAGCGGCAACAGCUCAAAUUUGAAAUCUGGCCCCCUCGGGGGGCCCGAGUUGUAAUUUGCAGAUUGUGCUUUUGGCGAGGCGCCUUCCGAGUUCCCUGGAACGGGACGCCACAGAGGGUGAGAGCCCCGUCUGGUCGGCCGCCGAGCCUCUGUAAAGCACCUUCGACGAGUCGAGUAGUUUGGGAAUGCUGCUCAAAAUGGGAGGUAUAUGUCUUCUAAAGCUAAAUACCGGCCAGAGACCGAUAGCGCACAAGUAGAGUGAUCGAAAGAUGAAAAGCACCUUGAAAAGGGGGUUAAACAGUACGUGAAAUUGUUGAAAGGGAAGCGCUCGCGACCAGACUUGGGCCCGGCGGAUCACCCAGCGUUCUCGCUGGGGCACUCCGCCUCGUCCCAGGCCAGCAUCGGUUCGCGCCGGGGGACAAAGGCGGCGGGAACGUGGCUCCCCCGGGAGUGUUAUAGCCCGCCGCGCAAUGCCCUGGGGCGGACCGAGGAUUCGCGCAUCUGCAUGGAUGCUGGCGUAAUGGUCACCAGCGACCCGUCUUGAAACACGGACCAAGGAGUCGUCUUCGUAUGCGAGUGUUCGGGUGUCAAACCCCUACGCGUAAUGAAAGUGAACGCAGGUGAGAGCUUCGGCGCAUCAUCGACCGAUCCUGAUGUUCUCGGAUGGAUUUGAGUAGGAGCAUACGGGGCCGGACCCGAAAGAAGGUGAACUAUGCCUGUGUAGGGUGAAGCCAGAGGAAACUCUGGUGGAGGCUCGCAGCGGUUCUGACGUGCAAAUCGAUCGUCAAACAUGGGCAUGGGGGCGAAAGACUAAUCGAAC
rnacentral:rRNA from 1 species